GAUGAAGAACGUAGCGAAAUGCGAUAAGUAAUGUGAAUUGCAGAAUUCCGUGAAUCAUCGAAUCUUUGAACGCACAUUGCGCCCGCCAGCAUUCUGGCGGGCAUGCCUGUUCGAGCGUCAUUUCAACCCUCAAGCCCCCGGGCUUGGUGUUGGGGCUCGGCCCGUCCCUAGCGGAUGCGCCGUCCCCGAAAUCUAGUGGCGGUCUCGCUGUAGCCUCCUCUGCGUAGUAGCUAACACCUCGCAAUGGGAACGCAGCGCGGCCACGCCGUUAAACCCCCCACUUCUGAAGGUUGACCUCGGAUCAGGUAGGAAUACCCGCUGAACUUAAGCAUAUCAAUAAGCGGAGGA
rnacentral:misc_RNA from 1 species